rnacentral:rRNA from 1 species
CCUACGGGUGGCAGCAGUGAGGAAUAUUGGUCAAUGGGCGUAAGCCUGAACCAGCCAAGUCGCGUGAGGGAUGAAGGUUCUAUGGAUCGUAAACCUCUUUUAUAAGGGAAUAAAGUGCGGGACGUGUCCCGUUUUGUAUGUACCUUAUGCAUAAGGAUCGGCUAACUCCGGGCCUGCAGCCGCGGUAAUACGGAGGAUACGAGCGUUAUCCGGAUUUAUUGGGUUUAAAGGGUGCGUAGGCGGCCUUGUAAGUCAGCGGGGAAAGUCUGUGGCUCAACACUAGUAUUGCCGUUGAAACUGGGAGGCUUGAGUAUGUGUGAGGCAGGCGGAAUGCGUGGUGAAGCGGUGAAAUGCUUAGAGAUCACGCAGAACCCCGAUUGCGAAGGCAGCCUGCCAAGGCAUGACUGACGCUGAGGCACGAAAGCGUGGGGAUCAAACAGGAUUAGAUACCCUAGUAGUC